rnacentral:miRNA from 1 species
ACUAAACGGUGUGUUUUUUAUAAAAAUUUUCUAUAGAAAAGUUGCUUUAAAAAUCAUAUUAAUCCAAUUUUAAAAUUUAAAAUAAUUAAUACUCAAUUAAUCAUGAGCUAAUGACUCACCUCGUUUGGC